CCUGGCCUUGACAUACUAAGAACUUUCCAGAGAUGGAUUGGUGCCUUCGGGAACUUAGAUACAGGUGCUGCAUGGCUGUCGUCAGCUCGUGUCGUGAGAUGUUGGGUUAAGUCCGCAACGAGCCGCAACCCUUUUCCUUAUUUGCCAGCGGGUAAUGCCGGGAACUUUAAGGAUACUGCCAGUGACAAACUGGAGGAAGGCGGGGACGACGUCAAGUCAUCAUGGCCCUUACGGCCAGGGCUACACACGUGCUACAAUGGUCGGUACAAAGGGUUGCUACCUCGCGAGAGGAUGCUAAUCUCAAAAAGCCGAAUCGUAGUCCGGAUCGCAGUCUGCAACUCGACUGCGUGAAGUCGGAAUCGCUAGUAAUCGCGGAUCAGAAUGCCGCGGUGAAUACGUUCCCGGGCCUUGUACACACCGCCCGUCACACCAUGGGAGUUUGUUGCACCAGAAGUAGGUAGUCUAACCGCAAGGAGGACGCUUACCACGGUGUGGCCGAUGACUGGGGUGAAGUCGUAACAAGGUAGGCGUAGAUGA
rnacentral:rRNA from 1 species